rnacentral:rRNA from 1 species
CCUACGGGAGGCAGCAGUGAGGAAUAUUGGUCAAUGGACGGAAGUCUGAACCAGCCAUGCCGCGUGCAGGAAGACGGCUCUAUGAGUUGUAAACUGCUUUUGUACAAGGGUAAACCUGAAUACGUGUAUUCAGCUGAAAGUACUGUACGAAUAAGGAUCGGCUAACUCCGUGCCAGCAGCCGCGGUAAUACGGAGGAUCCAAGCGUUAUCCGGAUUUAUUGGGUUUAAAGGGUGCGUAGGCGGAUGGAUAAGUUAGAGGGGAAAUGUCCGAGCUUAACUCGGGAACUGCCUCUAAUACUGUUGAUCUAGAGAGUAGAUGCGGUAGGCGGAAUGUAUGGUGUAGCGGUGAAAUGCUUAGAGAUCAUACAGAACACCGAUUGCGAAGGCAGCUUACCAAUCUAUAUCUGACGUUGAGGCACGAAAGCGUGGGGAGCAAACAGGAUUAGAUACCCCAGUAGUC